UGAACCUGCGGAAGGAUCAUUACAGUGCCCCCGCGGCAGGCCCGCGUCUCCCGCCCCGAGAGGGGUGUGUUUCGAUGGCGCUGCCGCAACCGGCCCCACACUUGUCUACCUAACCUGUUGCCUCGGCGAGCCCGCCCCCCGCCCCCCCAAAAAGGGGGCGAGGGGCCGCCGGAGGAGGGGAAGCCGCCCCGGCGCCCUCGCUUCUGGCCCGCGCUCGCCGGAGGACCAAAUCAAAAAACCUGAUAAUUUAGUGACGUCUGAGUGAGAAAUUACGAAUAAAUCAAAACUUUCAACAAUGGAUCUCUUGGUUCCGGCAUCGAUGAAGAACGCAGCGAAAUGCGAUAAGUAAUGUGAAUUGCAGAAUUCCGUGAAUCAUCGAAUCUUUGAACGCACAUUGCGCCCCCUGGUAUUCCGGGGGGCAUGCCUGUCCGAGCGUCAUUGCAACCCUCAAGCCCGGCUUGUGUUUUGGGCGGCCGUCCCGCGUGGACGCGCCCCAAUGGCAGUGACGGCAGCCGCGACUCCGGCGCCCGAGUGAAUGGAGGUAAAAAAACCACCGCUCGUAGGCGCAGGCCGGCUCCGGUCUUCUUUAGCUAGAACGGGGAGUAAGAUCCCCAAUCGGUUGACCUCGGAUCAGGUAGGGAUACCCGCUGAACUUAAGCAUAUCAAUAAGCGGAGGAAAAGAAACCAACUGGGAUUGCCUCAGUAACGGCGAGUGAAGCGGCAAAAGCUCAAAUUUGAAAUCUGGCUCCCUAGCAGGGGUCCGAGUUGUAAUUUGAAGAGGAUGCUUCGGGUGCGGCCGCGGCGCAAGUUCCUUGGAACAGGACGUCAUAGAGGGUGAGAAUCCCGUCUUGAGUCGCCGGCACGCGCCCAUGUGAAGCUCCUUCGACGAGUCGAGUUGUUUGGGAAUGCAGCUCUAAGCGGGUGGUAAAUUUCAUCUAAAGCUAAAUAUUGGCCGGAGACCGAUAGCGCACAAGUAGAGUGAUCGAAAGGUUAAAAGCACCUUGAAAAGGGAGUUAAAUAGCACGUGAAAUUGUUGAAAGGGAAGCGCUUGCGGCCAGACUCGGGCGCGGGGGUUCAGCGGGCAUUCGUGCCCGUGUACUCCCCCGCGAUCCGGGCCAGCAUCGGUUUGGGCGGUCGGUCAAAGGCCCUCGGAAUGUGUCGCCUCUCGGGGCGUCUUAUAGCCGGGGGUGCAAUGCGGCCUGCCUGAC
rnacentral:sRNA from 1 species